UGUAGGUUUAAACCCCUCCUUUAUCA
rnacentral:tRNA from 1 species